GACUAGAGUAGGGCGGGACACGUGAAAUCCUGUCUGAACAUGGGGGGACCACCCUCCAAGCCUAAAUACUCGUACAUGACCGAUAGCGAACUAAGUACCGUGAGGGAAAGGUGAAAAGAACCCUAAGUAAGGGAGUGAAAGAGAACCUGAAACCGUACGCCUACAAGCGGUCGGAGCACAUUUACUGUGUGACGGCGUGCCUUUUGCAUAAUGAGCCUACGAGUUACUGUUUCUAGCAAGGUUAAGUGUUUAAGACAUGGAGCCGUAGCGAAAGCGAGUCUGAAUAGGGCGCACUAGUUAGAGGGGGUAGACGCGAAACCUGGUGAUCUACCCAUGGUCAGGUUGAAGUGACAGUAACAUGUCAUGGAGGACCGAACUGAUAUACGUUGAAAAGUGUUCAGAUGAACUGUGGGUAGGGGUGAAAGGCCAAUCAAACUAGGAAAUAGCUCGUACUCCCCGAAAUGUUUUUAGGAACAGCGUGG
rnacentral:rRNA from 1 species